rnacentral:rRNA from 1 species
UCAAGCGAAUAAGUGCAUAUGGUGGAUGCCUUGGCGAUCACAGGCGAAGAAGGACGUUGUAGCCUGCGAAAAGCUGCGGGGAGCUGGCAAACAAGCUUUGAUCCGCAGAUGUCCGAAUGGGGAAACCCACUCCAGCGAUGGAGUAUCGUUAUCUGAAUACAUAGGGUAACGAGGCGAACCGGGUGAACUGAAACAUCUCAGUAGCUCGAGGAAAAGAAAUCAACCGAGAUUCCGGCAGUAGCGGCGAGCGAAACCGGAGCAGCCUUGACGAGUUAGCACAGUCGAUAGUCGAACGGUCUGGAAAGGCCGGCCGCAGCAUGGUGAUAGCCCUGUAGACGAAAUCGAAUGUGUGGGACUAGGCGUCAGAUAAGUAGGGCGGGACACGUGAAAUCCUGUCUGAAGAUGGGGGGACCAUCCUCCAAGGCUAAAUACUCGUGAUCGACCGAUAGUGAACCAGUACCGUGAGGGAAAGGCGAAAAGAACCCCGGAAGGGGAGUGAAAUAGAUCCUGAAACCGUAUGCAUACAAACAGUAGGAGCCUCCUUGAGGGGUGACUGCGUACCUUUUGUAUAAUGGGUCAGCGACUUACAUUCAGUGGCAAGCUUAACCGGAUAGGGAAGGCGUAGCGAAAGCGAGUCCGAACAGGGCGAUUCAGUCGCUGGGUGUAGACCCGAAACCAGGCGAUCUAUCCAUGGCCAGGUUGAAGGCACGGUAACACGUGCUGGAGGACCGAACCCACUAACGUUGAAAAGUUAGGGGAUGAGCUGUGGAUAGGGGUGAAAGGCUAAACAAGCCUGGAGAUAGCUGGUUCUCUCCGAAAACUAUUUAGGUAGUGCCUCACAUGAUUACUGCCGGGGGUAGAGCACUGUUAUAGCUAGGGGGUCAUGGCGACUUACCAACCUAUGGCAAACUCCGAAUACCGGCAAGUACAGUGUGGGAGACAGAGCACCGGGUGCUAACGUCCGGACUCAAGAGGGAAACAACCCAGACCGCCAGCUAAGGUCCCUAAAACGGGCUAAGUGGGAAACGAAGUGGGAAGGCAUAGACAGUCAGGAGGUUGGCUUAGAAGCAGCCAUCCUUUAAAGAAAGCGUAAUAGCUCACUGAUCGAGUCGUCCUGCGCGGAAGAUGUAACGGGGCUAAGCCAGUUACCGAAGCUGCGGGUGUGCACGCAAGUGCACGCGGUAGGAGAGCGUUCUGUAAGCCUGCGAAGGUGGCUUGUAAAGGCUGCUGGAGGUAUCAGAAGUGCGAAUGCUGACAUGAGUAGCGAUAAAGGGGGUGAAAAGCCCCCUCGCCGUAAGUCCAAGGUUUCCUGCGCAACGUUCAUCGGCGCAGGGUGAGUCGGCCCCUAAGGCGAGGCAGAGAUGCGUAGCUGAUGGGAAGCUGGUUAAUAUUCCAGUACCGUCGUGAGAUGCGAUGGGGGGACGGAUGGCAGAAGGUCAUCGGGGUGUUGGAUGUCCCCGUUGCUGCAUCGAAGAAGGCGCUUAGGUAAAUCCGGGCGCGUAAUUCAAGGGUGUGGCUGGACAGGAACUUCGGUUCCUGGACUGAUUGGAAGUUGUCCCAGGAAAAGCCUCUAAGCUUCAGUCUCACGAGACCGUACCGCAAACCGACACAGGUGGACGGGAUGAAUAUUCCAAGGCGCUUGAGAGAACUCAGGAGAAGGAACUCGGCAAAUUGAUACCGUAACUUCGGGAGAAGGUAUGCCCUUGUAGUGUGACAGGCUCGCGCCUGGAGCAUGAAGGGGCCGCAGAGAAUCGGUGGCUGCGACUGUUUAUUAAAAACACAGCACUCUGCAAAGACGAAAGUCGACGUAUAGGGUGUGACGCCUGCCCGGUGCCGGAAGGUUAAGUGAUGGGGUGCAAGCUCUUGAUCGAAGCCCCGGUAAACGGCGGCCGUAACUAUAACGGUCCUAAGGUAGCGAAAUUCCUUGUCGGGUAAGUUCCGAC